UUAGGCCUCUUAACUUUGUAAGAGUCUGUUUUAUUUCUUUAUGGGGGUGUAAUUAAGUUUUACAAUCCAUUUGUUUUAUUUUGAUAUAAUCACCCAUUUGUUUCACGAAUCACAAUUAUUUAUAUAUCACAUUAUUGACUCCAAACAAGGCAGUUUAUUAGCACAAAAUGUGUCUACGUUCUGUUUCCAAGUGAACAUUUUCUGCACCCAGCACUGCUGUGUCUCAUCAGCUCUUCCAUACCAGCAAAAUCUUGGAGGGAGUAGAAAAUGAGAACGUUGUACUACUCUCCUCGUAAAGAGAAAUCCAGGAGUGAGUGAAAACUUUAUAAGGAUCACAUUUCCCAAGCAAUCUCACUUUCCAGGAGAGGUUGUCCACAUGUUCACAGUGCUGCUACCAGUGAACAGGGAUGGGCUGUUCUCUCCUCCCUCCAUCAGGCUUCUGUUCAACUACUGCUGUCUUUUCAUCUUGGUUACUUUUUACCUCUGUUUUUAUCUUAGUUACUCAUUGGCAAAGAUUGGGCUUCAUAAGUUUGCAAAGUGAAAGAAUUUUACAAGGGUAAAAAAAAAAAAAAGAGAUGCCUGAAAAUACCGCAAAAUUCAUCCCUCUUGACUCUGCUUUUUAUUUAAUGCCUAGAUGAAAAUAUUACCUCCUGAGUCUCCGUGUGUGUGGCUGAGUCCCCGGGACACCUGCCAAGACAGGAAUUUUAGAUGCCCGAAAUCAUGUGCUCAGCAGGUGUAAAUUGUGUGCAGGGAGAGUUCACCUUUUGUCCUGAACCCCAGAGGCAGUUUCUCUUCAUUAGCAAGGGAAGAUGGGGAAGAAGAUUAUCCUCGUUUCCUGACUGCAUGCCAAAGUUAUGUAUCAUAAGGAGAAAAUCUGUUCAUACGUUCACAAAUAUGUUUGCUCCUAAUCUGUCUUCAGGAGAGUGUCUUUGUGAGGAGCAAGGGGUGCUGAUGAUCGCAGGAGAGCUGAGACGGAGGGACAGGAACAGACGCAGAAUUUCUCUGCCGAGAUUUUUUACCAGUGGGAUCCACGGUGGAUAUUUUUAA
ensembl:lncRNA